AAAUGUACGCUGGCGGCAGGCCUACCACAUGCAAGUCGAACGGUAGCACAGAGAGCUUGCUCUCGGGUGACGAGUGGCGGACGGGUGAGUAAUGUCUGGGAAACUGCCUGAUGGAGGGGGAUAACUACUGGAAACGGUAGCUAAUACCGCAUAACGUCGCAAGACCAAAGAGGGGGACCUUCGGGCCUCUUGCCAUCAGAUGUGCCCAGAUGGGAUUAGCUAGUAGGUGGGGUAACGGCUCACCUAGGCGACGAUCCCUAGCUGGUCUGAGAGGAUGACCAGCCACACUGGAACUGAGACACGGUCCAGACUCCUACGGGAGGCAGCAGUGGGGAAUAUUGCACAAUGGGCGCAAGCCUGAUGCAGCCAUGCCGCGUGUAUGAAGAAGGCCUUCGGGUUGUAAAGUACUUUCAGCGGGGAGGAAGGUGUUGUGGUUAAUAACCACAGCAAUUGACGUUACCCGCAGAAGAAGCACCGGCUAACUCCGUGCCAGCAGCCGCGGUAAUACGGAGGGUGCAAGCGUUAAUCGGAAUUACUGGGCGUAAAGCGCACGCAGGCGGUCUGUCAAGUCGGAUGUGAAAUCCCCGGGCUCAACCUGGGAACUGCAUUCGAAACUGGCAGGCUAGAGUCUUGUAGAGGGGGGGUAGAAUUCCAGGUGUAGCGGUGAAAUGCGUAGAGAUCUGGAGGAUACCGGUGGCGAAGCGGCCCCUGGACAAGACUGACGCUCAGGGCGAAAGCGUGGGGAGCAACAGAUAGAUACCUGGUAGUCCCGCCGUAACGAUGUCGAUUGGGGUGUGCCCUUGAGGGUGCUUCCGGAGCUACGCGUUAAU
rnacentral:rRNA from 1 species